CCCAAAUGCAUGUUUCCAAUUGCCAAGCUGCUCUUCUCCAAGCAGAGAUGCAGGGACCCAGCGACUGAAGGAGCCCUUGUUUUUCCCAGUUGCUGGGGAAAGUGGUUAAAGAAGGUGCCUCACUUCUGAAACACUCCAGCCCAGAAGCAACAGGCAUCACUUCUGCUCACCUUCCACUGGUGAGAACAAGUUACAUGGGCACACCAAGAUGCAAGGGGAAAGAGAGACCCUGGCCUGGCAGUCCCUUUCUGGUGACAUCUCUCCACUAUGAAAGGGGAACAUGAACCUCUGUUGGACAGCUAUCUGUCUUGAUCACAUCUGCCCCCCAUUGUAUAAUGUGAUUAAAAGAACACUGAGCUAGAAUCAGAAGACCCGGGUUCUGGAAUUAUUCACACUUCCUCACAGGAUGAUCUUGAGCAAGUCAUUUUCCCUCAUGUGUCUGUUUCCUUAUCUGCAAAAUAAAGUCUCCACCUGUGCUGCUCACUCCACGAACAAGGAUGGUGGCAGGAGUUGUGAGAUGGAGCCUCAUUAUGCUGCCCAGUCUGGUCUCGAACGCCUGGUCUCAAGGGAUUCUCCUACCUCAGCCUCCCUAAAUGCCGGGAUUAUAGGCAUAAGCCACUGCACCCGGCCCUCCACCUUUCCUUAAACUAUUUAGAAACCCUCUUUGACACAGGGUCAGGUUAAGAUGCUUGAACUUUUGGGUAAAGAACAAGGCUGGGUGCGGUGGCUCAUUUCUGUAAUCCUAGCACUUUGGGAGGCCGAGGUGGGUGGAUCGUUUGACUCCAAGAGUUCGAGACCAGCCUAGGCAACAUGGCGAGACACAGUCUCUACAAAAAAUACAAAAACAAAUUAGCCAGGUGUGAUGGUGUAUGCCUGUAGUCCCAGCUACUCAGGAGGCUGAGUGGGGAGGAUUGCUUAAACCUGGGAGGUUGAGGCUGCAGUGAGCCAUGAUGGCGCCACUGCAUUCCAGCCUGGGUGAUAGAGCCAGAUACUGUAAAAAAAAAAAAAAGAAAAAAGAAGAAAAAGAAGAAGAAGAAGAGGAAGAAGAAGAGAAAGAAGAAGAAGAGGAGGAGGAGGAGGAGGAAGAAAAGGAAGGGAAAAGAAAAGAAAAAUAACAUGUCUGAGAAUUUCUGGAAUGCAUCCUGAAUUCCUAAUAGAGAUUCCUGGAAUGCAUCCUUCACACCAGGGAAUUUCCAUUCCUUUCUUACUGGGCAAUUGUUAUGGGGAUCUGGAUUUAUUUCUGGCUCUGUCACUAACUUUUUGGGUAACUCUCAUUCAACUCACUUUGCGUCUUGAGGCCUCAGUUUCCUCAUCUGUAAAAUGGGAACAAUAAUCCUCACCUCAUAGGGUUGUUGUGCAGAUGAAAUGAGAUGAAAUAUGUGAGAAGACUCCCUUCCCUCCUUUCUCUACAAAAUGUCAGGACUGUGCCUAUCACGGGAGAACAGUAGUAUUCUCCUCAGUGCAGAUUGUCAACCGCUGUACCAACUUGUGCUAAGUCUGUUCACGCAUACCACCUGAGUCAGAACUUUUCAUUAAUGCCAGGGGAAUUCCAUCUCAGCUCCCCCAGUCAAGGAGUUCUGAGUCAUGUUUCAUCAAGGAUUUAUUGCAGGAGUACUUUGGGAAAGAAGGACGCGUGCUGCUCUGAGGAACUGGGACCACACCCUGGUGCUUGGGAAUUGGUGGCGGUGGUUGCAUUUUGUUGUUGGCUUGUUUGUUUUAAAACAUCCACAUCCUGUCCCACAGCUGGAGCAUAAAAUCAAGCUUUAGUUGUGGGAUUUUUGUUUACUUUAUUCACUAGUUGGGCUGGUCAGGAGUUUAACGGAGGUCAAUGCCUUUAACAUUGCUUGGAUUCUAUAAAGAGAAUUCUAGCAGUUUGUGCUACGAAAUAUCCUAGUGUAAAAGAGGAACUUAAAAAAAUUGACUCACACGGUCUGGUUGCUUUUAGGAUAAAUUAAUUUUUGUUUUGCUUACAAAAAUAAUAACAACUUCUGAAUGUUUAUAUGUUUUCGUUUUGCACAGGAAGCUUUGGCAAUAGAAAAUGUUGGUAGAAAAAGUAAUUAAAGAAAUAAAUGUGGCAACUCUCACAGCUGUAAAUCAUUGAUUUAGUCCCAUUUGUCCCACCCCUUACCCCCCAAAAAAAGAAAGAAGAAAGAAAGAAAAGAGGGAGAGGGAGAAAGACAGAGAAAAAAGAAAAAGAAGGAAAGAAAGAGAGUUAGCCUUUUUGCCAGAAGAUC
rnacentral:lncRNA from 1 species